AUUGAACGCUGGCGGCAGGCCUAACACAUGCAAGUCGAGCGGAGCGGCGGACGGGUGAGUAAUGCCUAGGAAUCUGCCUGGUAGCGGGGGAUAACGUCCGGAAACGGGCGCUAAUACCGCAUACUAUCAGAUGAGCCUAGGUCGGAUUAGCUAGUUGGUGGGGUAAAGGCCUACCAAGGCGACGAUCCGUAACUGGUCUGAGAGGAUGAUCAUUAACACUGGAAAUGAGACACGGUCCAGACUCCUACGUGAGGCAGCAGUGGAGAAUAUUGGACAAUGGGCGGAAGCCUGAGCCGGGCAUGCCGCGUGUGUGUAGAAGGGCUUCGGAUUGUAAAGCACUUUAAGUUGGGAGGCGUUACCAACAGAAUAAGCACCGGCUAACUUCGUGCCAGCCGCCGCGGUAAUUC
rnacentral:rRNA from 1 species